UACGUAGGGGGCAAGCGUUAUCCGGAUUUACUGGGUGUAAAGGGAGCGUAGACGGCUUUGCAAGCCAGAUGUGAAAGCCCGGGGCUCAACCCCGGGACUGCAUUUGGAACUGUAUGGCUGGAGUGUCGGAGAGGCAGGCGGAAUUCCUAGUGUAGCGGUGAAAUGCGUAGAUAUUAGGAGGAACACCAGUGGCGAAGGCGGCCUGCUGGACGAUGACUGACGUUGAGGCCCGAAAGCGUGGGGAGCAAACAGG
rnacentral:rRNA from 1 species